rnacentral:rRNA from 1 species
GACGAACGCUGGCGGCGUGCUUAACACAUGCAAGUCGAACGGAAAGGCCCUGCUUUUGUGGGGUGCUCGAGUGGCGAACGGGUGAGUAACACGUGAGUAACCUGCCCUUGACUUUGGGAUAACUUCAGGAAACUGGGGCUAAUACCGGAUAGGAGCUCCUGCUGCAUGGUGGGGGUUGGAAAGUUUCGGCGGUUGGGGAUGGACUCGCGGCUUAUCAGCUUGUUGGUGGGGUAGUGGCUUACCAAGGCUUUGACGGGUAGCCGGCCUGAGAGGGUGACCGGCCACCUUGGGCCUGCGAUACGGCCCAGUCUCCUACGGGAGGCAGCAGUGGGGAGUAUUGCACAAUGGGCGGAAGCCUGAUGCAGCAACGCCGCGUGCGGGAUGACGGCCUUCGGGUUGUAAACCGCUUUCGCCUGUGACGAAGCGUGAGUGACGGUAAUGGGUAAAGAAGCACCGGCUAACUACGUG